rnacentral:rRNA from 1 species
GAUGAACGCUGGCGGCGUGCCUAAUACAUGCAAGUCGAGCGAACAGACGAGGAGCUUGCUCCUCUGACGUUAGCGGCGGACGGGUGAGUAACACGUGGAUAACCUACCUAUAAGACUGGGAUAACUUCGGGAAACCGGAGCUAAUACCGGAUAAUAUAUUGAACCGCAUGGUUCAAUAGUGAAAGACGGUUUUGCUGUCACUUAUAGAUGGAUCCGCGCCGCAUUAGCUAGUUGGUAAGGUAACGGCUUACCAAGGCGACGAUGCGUAGCCGACCUGAGAGGGUGAUCGGCCACACUGGAACUGAGACACGGUCCAGACUCCUACGGGAGGCAGCAGUAGGGAAUCUUCCGCAAUGGGCGAAAGCCGGACGGAGCAACGCCGCGUGAGUGAUGAAGGUCUUCGGAUCGUAAAACUCUGUUAUUAGGGAAGAACAAAUGUGUAAGUAACUAUGCACGUCUUGACGGUACCUAAUCAGAAAGCCACGGCUAACUAUGUG